CCGUCCCGUACGCAUUCGUUAUUUUCGCAGGUUCCGCUACUCUGCACUGGCAGUGACUGCACUUUUUUUUCACAUCAAGAACCGCGGUACAAUCGACUUAAGACUGUUUUCCGCAGUACGAAAACAGCCUUGCAUACGUGGUAGGUGACGCCAUUAGGGUGACGUCACUGCUUUUACGGCGGCUGGUUGGCGCUCUGUUGCUGACGUUAUCGAUUCCGGUUUUGGGAACUUGGGGCAACUGGUCGACGAGGGCGCAUCGAAAGAGAGCCUAUACGCUGACGCGUUCAACCUUUCGUCACAGGCACACGGGAGAAAUCGAAACACCAGAGGCGUAAUAAUGCUUUGUGCUCAUCUUGCCGGCACAUUCCUUUGGGGAUGGCUUUGUCCAUAUUAUUGUAAGUUGCCGCAUCCGAAAAAAGGUGUUCUCGAGAAUGGAGGGGUUUACUAUUCUACUGAUCCCUGUGUGCUGUACAUGUGCCAUGAAGGAGACCUGACGAGAACAGAGUGCGUCGGAGAGGAAAUCAGAAAGUGCAAUACAUCGGCAGGAGUAAAAAUGCUUCCUUAUCCAGCCUGCUGCCGUCAGAUAAUUUGUACGUGACAAUUAAAUCAAGAUUCAAACUUGCCU